GCGAACAGACGAGGAGCUUGCUCCUCUGACGUUAGCGGCGGACGGGUGAGUAACACGUGGAUAACCUACCUAUAAGACUGGGAUAACUUCGGGAAACCGGAGCUAAUACCGGAUAAUAUAUUGAACCGCAUGGUUCAAUAGUGAAAGACGGUUUUGCUGUCACUUAUAGAUGGAUCCGGGUCGCAUUAGCUAGUCGCUAAGGUAACGGCUUACCAAGGCAACGAUGCGUAGCCGACCUGAGAGGGUGAUCGGCCACACUGGAACUGAGACACGGUCCAGACUCCUACGGGAGGCAGCAGUAGGGAAUCUUCCGCAAUGGGCGAAAGCCUGACGGAGCAACGCCGCGUGAGUGAUGAAGGUCUUCGGAUCGUAAAACUCUGUUAUUAGGGAAGAACAAAUGUGUAAGUAACUAUGCACGUCUUGACGGUACCUAAUCAGAAAGCCACGGCUAACUACGUGCCAGCAGCCGCGGUAAUACGUAGGUGGCAAGCGUUAUCCGGAAUUAUUGGGCGUAAAGCGCGCGUAGGCGGUUUUUUAAGUCUGAUGUGAAAGCCCACGGCUCAACCGUGGAGGGUCAUUGGAAACUGGAAAACUUGAGUGCAGAAGAGGAAAGUGGAAUUCCAUGUGUAGCGGUGAAAUGCGCAGAGAUAUGGAGGAACACCAGUGGCGAAGGCGACUUUCUGGUCUGUA
rnacentral:rRNA from 1 species